AUUGAACGCUGGCGGCAUGCUUUACACAUGCAAGUCGAACGGUAACAGGUUAAGCUGACGAGUGGCGAACGGGUGAGUAAUGCAUCGGAACGUGCCCGGUCGUGGGGGAUAACGCAGCGAAGGCUGCGCUAAUACCGCAUACGAUCUGAGGAUGAAAGCGGGGGACCGUAAGGCCUCGCGCGAUCGGAGCGGCCGAGGUCAGAUUAGGUAGUUGGGGGGGUAAAGGCGCACCAAGCCAACGAUCUGUAGCUGGUCUGAGAGGACGACCAGCCACAGUGGGGCUGAGACACGGCUCAGACUCCUGCGGGAGGCAGCAGUGGGAAAUGUUGGACAAUGGGCGAAAGCCUGAUCCAGCGAUGCCGCGUGCAGGAAGAAGGCGUUCGGGUUGUUAACUGCUUUUGUACGGAGCGAAAAGGUCUCCUCUAAUACAGGGGGCUCAUGACGGUACCGUAAGAAUAAGCACCGGCUAACUACGUGCCAGCAGCCGCCGUAA
rnacentral:rRNA from 1 species